CAGCCUCCCUCCGGGCGCCCUCCGCCCCGCCCGCGUAGCCCGGGGGUCCGGAAGGCCUCGGAGGGAGGUGGGAGGGCUGCCGGGACCUGGGACCCCGGGGCUCCCCCCGCCGGGUUUUGUUCAUUAUUAUUGCUUAUUAGCAGCCACCCUCUUGCUCCUAGGACAACCACCCGCCUUUGAACGUAGCCGGCCCCUGUUAUUAAGGGUGCUCUGCCGAGGCCUGAGGUUGCUCCCCUGCGUCGAGGGCCGCUUUGGAUUUAAGGACAAUACUUUUCCCUGGCAGCCAUUUACACCGACCAGAGUUCGCUCGGGAUGGUCUUUGCCCCCGCCUGGGAACCGUGGAGGCCCGAGGAGCCCUGCAGCCUUGCGCGGUGGGAGUGGGGCCUGGGAGUGGGGCGAUGUCUGUGCUGCACAGAGAGGGAUGUCGAGGCAAAGAGCGACCCAGCCGCUUCGAGUGGCCAGGGAAGGGAUCCAGGGGCGCGGAACCGGUGAUUUCUAAUCUCCGAAACCAGUGAUUUCCAACUUGUUCUGCCAAGAAACUCUCAGACUCAGACGUGAAAUCACGUUGCCACUUAGUGGGUAAAAGGAAAGGCGCUGGGUCCACAGAUAAUGUGUUUGGUUCCAAUCCAGCCUCCGGCACUUACUGGCUGGAUGGCCUCGGGCAAUGCCUCCACCUCUCCUGAAAGCUCAGAUGGACGGAAUGACAGAGCCAUGUCACUGUGUGGUGACAAGGAUCAAGGAAAGAGCACCUGAUACCUGGCCCGUGGUUGGUUUGGACUCUUUUUUUCAAAUACAGUGAUCGAGUCUUGACUGCCUUCUAGAAGACUUCUCAAAAACAGUGACCACUUGUGAAAAGAUGCUAAUCAGGAGGAAAAACAACCUGCGCCUGCUCAAAGAAGAAAAAGAAGGGGAGGGGGACAGCAGAAAAAAAGAGAGAGAGAGACCACAUUAAAAGGAAACUUUUUAAGAUGAGUAAGCAGGAAGUAGUCAUAGGAACCCAUUAAAAGCCACAGCAGCAGAACUACAUGGAACUGGGUUAAUGAGACCAUGCUGCAAAUAUCUUUAACUUCAUUAAGUUUGGCAGCAACUAAAAAAGGUUUGAAAGUGUCAGAAUCUCCAAGAAAUGAAGAAAAAAAAAAAAACACCACUGAUCUUAAAACAAUGGAAAUCAAUAGGAUUCAGGAUGAA